AACGAACGCUGGCGGCAUGCCUAACACAUGCAAGUCGAACGAGACCUUCGGGUCUAGUGGCGCACGGGGGCGUAACGGGUGGGAACCUGCCCUUAGGUUCGGAAUAACUCCCCGAAAGGGGUGCUAAUACCGGCUAAUGUCUUCGGACCAAAGGUUUAUCGCCUUUGGAUGGGCCCGCGUUGGAUUAGCUAGUUGGUAGGGUAAAAGCCUCCCAAGGCGACGAUCCAUAGCUGGUCUGAGAGGAUGAUCCGCCACACUGGGACUGAGACACGGCCCAGACUCCUACGGGAGGCAGCAGUGGGGAAUAUUGGACAAUGGGCGAAAGCCUGAUCCAGCAAUGCCGCGUGAGCGAUGAAGGCCUUAGGGUUGUAAAGCUCUUUUACCCGUGAUGAUAAUGACAGUACCGGGAGAAUAAGCUCCGGCUAACUCCGUG
rnacentral:rRNA from 1 species